GCGGGUAUGGUAUAAUGGUAGAACAUCAGCCUUCCAAGCUUAGGAUGCGGGUUCGAUUCCCGCUACCCGCU
rnacentral:tRNA from 1 species